CGGGGUUUGUGGAGCCGCGCGGGAGAGAAGUGUGCCAUACUCCAGAUCCUGCUCAGCAGCGGAGGGCCUGCAGGACGCUGAUUCUUUGUUCUCCUGAGACUUCUCUUGACCUCUGGUGCUGCAGUGAGAGAAUGGGACGAGUUCAGAAGCUUGGAAUGGCAUUUUGAGAAGAAAACACGCAGAGUGUCAGGAUAAAAUGGGAGAGCUUGGAAGCUUGGAAUCGUGAACAUAGGUUCAUGGUGUAUAACCAAUGUAGGAUGGUCUGGAUGGAUCGGAUCCCAUCAGAACUUGCUCUCGCCACUGGUGUUUCUCUGAGUUUGCAUCAAGUAUUCAUCUUUACUUUCAUGUCUACACUUGGGCCUGGAGA